UGACGUCAAGUCCUCAUGGCCUUUACUUGCCCACGGGCUACACACGUGCUACAAUGGGUGGUACAAAGAGAUGCAAUCUCGCAAGAGCAAGCAAACCUCAAAAGACCAUCCUCAGUUCGGAUUGGAGUCUGCAACUCGACUCCAUGAAGUCGGAAUCGCUAGUAAUCGCGGAUCAGCACGCCGCGGUGAAUACGUUCCCGGGCCUU
rnacentral:rRNA from 1 species